AGCCUGAUUUCCACACUGACUCAGCACCGCAGAAACCCUCAGUUCCAGGAAGGAGGCCCGUCUCUCUUCAGUGCUUCCUCCAAAUCAGGCAUGGGAGUCUUGAGUGUGCCUGUUUAAAAAGAUUCCUCGUGGUUUCCAAAGGAUUCGAAGACCUCACCCACUUCAGAAGGGGAGGCUUAACCAUCGCCUUUCUCCCAGCAAUCUGCAGCCCAGAGGCCAGGGUCGAGUCCCCACGCCUGUGUCACACUCUUCUACAUGAGACACCACCACAGCAUGGCCAGAUGAGCAGUGCCAUGUCCACGCCCAGAGUCCGAACCAGUGAACCCUGGACCACUGAAGCAGAGUGCACGAACCCAACCACUGGGCCAUAGGGCCGGCUCCCAUACUUUACCCUUUUAAGAACUCUAAGGGGCAAGAAUUUCCCUAAUCUUUUCCAGAAAAGAAAGCAAGCAAGCAGGCAUGUUUUCUAAAACAAGUUGAGGCUUUUCCCAAGGGGUUUACAGCCCUAGCAUGAACUCCUUCCUCAUUGCUAUUUCUUGGGAGGGCUCCACAGGCCCAUGGAGAGACAGCCAGGCGCACAGUCGGGGGUCCAGUCAUUCAUUGUCACGUG
rnacentral:lncRNA from 1 species